rnacentral:rRNA from 1 species
AUUGAACGCUGGCGGCAGGCCUAACACAUGCAAGUCGAGCGGAUGAAGGGAGCUUGCUCCUGGAUUCAGCGGCGGACGGGUGAGUAAUGCCUAGGAAUCUGCCUGGUAGUGGGGGAUAACGUCCGGAAACGGGCGCUAAUACCGCAUACGUCCUGAGGGAGAAAGUGGGGGAUCUUCGGACCUCACGCUAUCAGAUGAGCCUAGGUCGGAUUAGCUAGUUGGUGGGGUAAAGGCCUACCAAGGCGCCGAUCCGUAACUGGUCUGAGAGGAUGAUCAGUCACACUGGAACUGAGACACGGUCCAGAGUCCUACGGGAGGCAGCAGUGGGGAAUAUUGGACAAUGCGCGAAAGCCUGAUCCAGGCAUGCCGCGUGUGUGGAGAAGGUCUUCGGAUUGUAAAGCACUUUAAGUUGGGAGGGAGGGCAGUAAGUUAAUACCUUGCUGUUUUGACGUUACCAACAGAAUAAGCACCGGCUAACUUCGUG